rnacentral:rRNA from 1 species
GACGAACGCUGGCGGCGUGCUUAACACAUGCAAGUCGAACGGAAAGGCCCCUUUGGGGGUACUCGAGUGGCGAACGGGUGAGUAACACGUGAGUAACCUGCCCUUGACUUCGGGAUAACUUCCGGAAACUGGGGCUAAUACCGGAUAGGAAUCCUUGCUGCAUGGUGGGGGUUGGAAAGCUUCGGCGGUUUUGGAUGGACUCGCGGCUUAUCAGCUUGUUGGUGGGGUAGUGGCUUACCAAGGCUUUGACGGGUAGCCGGCCUGGGAGGGCGACCGGCCACAGUGGGACUGAGAUACGGCCCAGACUCCUACGGGAGGCAGCAGUGGGGAAUAGUGCACAAUGGGCGGGAGCCUGAUGCAGCCACGCCGCGGGCGGGAUGACGGCCUUCGGGUUGUAAACCGCUUUCAGCAGGGGCGAAGCUUGUGGUGACGGUACCUGCAGAAGAAGCACCGGCUAACUACGUG